rnacentral:rRNA from 1 species
AGUAAAUAGAUACCCAGGUAGUCUCAGCUGUAAACGAUGCGCGUUAGGUGUAUCGGUGACCACGAGUCACCGAGGUGCCGAAGGGAAACCGUGAAACGUGCCGCCUGGGAAGUACGGUCGCAAGGCUGAAACUUAAAGGAAUUGGCGGGGGGAGCACCACAACAGGUGGAGCCUGCGGUUUAAUCGGACUCAACGCCGGGAAGCUCACCGGAUAAGACAGCUGAAUGAUAGCCGGGUUGAAGACUCUGCUUGACUAGCUGAGAGGAGGUGCAUGGCCGUCGUCAGUUCGUACUGUGAAGCAUCCUGUUAAGUCAGGCAACGAGCGAGACCCACGCCAACAGUUGCCAGCAUGUCCUCCGGGAUGGUGGGGACACUGUUGGACCGCCUCUGCUAAAGAGGAGGAAGGAAUGGGCAACGGUAGGUCAGCAUGCCCCGAAUUAUCCGGGCUACACGCGGGCUACAAUGGUCAGGACAAUGGGUAUCAACACCGAAAGGUGAGGGCAAUCU